AUGCCUCGUCUAGCCACACAUAAGCUGCUUUUGCGGCUUGUUUUCACCAUGAUUCCUUUCCUAAUCCUUCUUCCCUGCAUGCACUCCACUGAUCUGGAUGCACUUCUCUGCCUCAAGUCCCAGCUCUCUGACUCCUCGCGAGCGCUAGCUUCUUGGAGCAAUGCGUCUCUCACGCCCUGCGGUUGGCAAGGAGUGAGAUGCAGCACGCUUAACGCGUCUCGCGUGGUUUCAUUAGACCUCGGGUCGCUAAACCUCACCGGUCAAAUAUUUCCCUGCGUUGCGCAACUUGAUUUCCUUGACAGAAUCCACAUGCCAAAUAACCAUCUCACUGGCCACAUCUCCGCCGACAUCGGGCGGUUGACCCAGCUCACAUACCUCAACCUUAGCAUGAACUCCCUGGUUGGUUCCAUCCCUGAUGCCAUAUCUUCCUGCUCUCAACUCGAGACCAUAAGCCUGGAGAGCAACUCCCUUGAAGGUGAGAUCCCUCAAGCUCUCGCUGAGUGUUUGCUUCUCCAGCAAAUUGUUCUCAGCAACAACAAUCUUCAGGGAAGCAUCCCAUCCAGGUUCGGUUUGCUUUCCAACCUUUCUAUGCUAUUGCUCACUAGCAACAUGCUCACUGGAAAUAUUCCAGAGUUUUUGGGGAGUAGCAGUUCUCUCACGUCAGUCAAUCUAAGAAAUAACAGCCUUGGUGGAGGAAUCCCUCCUGCCCUGUUCAAUAGCACAACCAUUUCCUACAUAGAUAUGUCACAUAAUAACCUUUCAGGAUCUAUCCCACCUUUCCUUCAAACCUCUACAUCACUGCAAUACCUCUCACUAACUAAAAACUACCUCUCUGGGGGCAUUCCUUCUUCAAUUGGAAACAUGUCUUCCCUAUCUUCCCUUCAACUUGCUCAAAACAACUUCCAAGGAAGCAUUCCAGAGAGCUUAGGUAAGAUUUCAGGUUUGCAGGUACUAAACUUGAAAGAUAACAAUUUUUCGGGCAUCGUCUCACAAGCAAUUUACGCAAACACUUCCCUUACUUAUCUUAGCCUUAGUCUCAACCAACUUGUUGGUAGAAUUCCUGUGGACAUUGGCUACACUCUUCCAAACAUCACUGAGUUGAUACUAGGAGGAAACCAACUCGAUGGCCCAAUUCCUGCUUCAUUGGGCAAUGCAUCAAACCUCCAAAAUUUAGACCUUCGUCAAAAUUCACUCACUGGCAUUAUUCCUCCAUUGGGACACUUGAGCAAGCUGAAAAUUCUAGACGUGGGCACAAACAUGCUUAAAUCUGGAGAUUGGGCUUUCUUGUCUUCUCUAACAAAUUGUACUAAACUAAAGAUGUUGUGUUUGGAUUUUAAUGGCCUUGGGGGGUCAAUGCCUACUUCUUUUGGUGAUCUUUCAAACACCUUAGAGGUGCUUCUCCUAUCUGAAAACCAACUGAUUGGUGAAAUACCUUCGGAGAUAGGAAAACUCAAAGGCCUAACUGCUCUUGUAAUGCAAAUUAAUUCACUCUCAGGGUGCAUUCCUGAUACCCUUGGAAAUCUUCUAAAUAUGUCACUACUAAGCUUAUCCCACAACAAACUUUCCGGAGAUAUCCCACAAUCGAUUGGGAAACUAGAGCGACUCACUGAACUUUAUCUCAUGGAAAAUAAUUUGACCGGUCAAAUACCUCCUAGUUUGGAAGGUUGUAAAAAUUUGCUGCUGCUGAACCUUUCUUCCAAAAAGUUAUUUGGAAGCAUCCUGUCAGAACUCUUUUCCAUUUCAACACUUUCUAAAGGUUUGGAUCUUUCCUAUAACCAACUCAGUGGGAACAUACCUACUCGGAUAGGUAGUUUGAUGAAUUUGAAUUCACUUAGUAUAUCCAACAACCAAUUAUCAGGUGAGAUUCCUUCCACACUCGGCCAAUGCCUUCUUUUGGAAUCUCUCUCUUUGGAGGCAAAUUUGUUGCGGGGAAAAAUUCCAAAGUCUCUUGGGACUUUAAGAGGAAUCAAUAUGUUGGAUCUAUCUCAAAACAACUUGUCUGGUGAAAUACCAGAUUUUUUGGAGUCAUUUACCUCCUUAUUUAUUCUCAACUUAUCCUUCAAUGACUUUGAGGGAGUAGUCCCUAAAGGCGGUGUUUUCGCCAAUUCAAGUGCAGUGUUCGUCCAAGGAAACAAAAAAUUGUGUGCAAGUUCUCCAAUGCAACAAGUGCCACUUUGCACCACCUUAGCUUCCAGAAGGAAGAACACUGCACAUGUCGUAACUAUACUGGUUCCACUUACUACUAUUGUUGUAAUUGCCCUGGCAUGCCUUGUAUUCAUUCUUCUAAAGAAUAAAGGUACUAAAACUGAGGGGCACGUUACCCAGUUUUUCAGGGAGCAUAAUAGAUACUCAUACAUGGAUUUAUAUAAAGCAACAGAUGGUUUCUGUGCAUCCAGUAUUCUUGGUUCAGGAAGCUUUGGAGUGGUAUACAAAGGCAAUUCAGAAUUUCAAUCCAUUGCCAUUAAGGUAUUCAAGCUUGACCAACUUGGAGCAUCACAGAGUUUCUUCGCUGAGUGUGAUGCACUAAGAAACAUUCGCCACCGGAAUUUGAUUAGAGUGAUUAGUCUAUGCUCAACCACUGAUCCAAGAGGAAAUGAGUUCAAAGCACUUAUUCUUGAGUACAUGGAACAUGGUAACCUAGAAAGUUGGCUUUACCCAGAAGAAAACAAAGCCAACCCAAAAAUACCAUUGGGUUUGGGCUCAAGGAUAACGAUAGCUAUGGACAUAGCUGCUGCAUUAGAUUAUCUCCAUAAUCGAUGUAGUCCUCCAUUGGUUCAUUGUGAUUUGAAACCACGCAAUGUCCUUCUUGGUGAAGAAAUGGUUGCAUGUCUUAGUGACUUUGGACUCGCAAAAUUUCUUCAUGGAGACUCUUCAACGGGGGUUAAUAAGUCAUCAAAUAUUGCUGGACCGAGAGGAUCAAUUGGAUAUAUUGCACCUGAAUAUGGCAUGGGGUACAAGAUCUCAACAGAGGGUGAUAUAUAUAGCUACGGAAUUAUUCUUUUAGAGAUGAUCAUAGGAAAGCAUCCAACAGAUGCUAUGUUUAAGGAUGGUAUGAACCUUCACAACUUCGUGGAAACAACACUUUCACGGGAAAUUGGUGAAAUCUUAGAACCAAGUUUUAUCACAUAUGAUGGAGAAGGAGGAGAAAAUCUUCUAAUGGCUGAAACAAAAUGGUGUCUCACUCGACUAGCAAAACUUGGCCUAAAGUGCUCCGAGAUAUCUGCCAAGAGUCGGCCGACAACAGAAGAUGUUUAUGCGGAAAUCAUCAGCAUCAAAGAAAAUUUCACAGCAUUGCAGUAUAGACAAAAUAAAUCAACAUCAUUCUUGUAA
rnacentral:rRNA from 1 species